rnacentral:rRNA from 1 species
GACGAACGCUGGCGGCGUGCUUAACACAUGCAAGUCGAACGAGUGGCGAACGGGUGAGUAAUACGUGAGUAACCUGCCCUCUUUUUGGGAUAAGCCUUGGAAACGGGGUCUAAUACCGAAUAAAGGGGGAUGGGCUCGCGGCCUAUCAGCUGGUUGGUGGGGUGAUGGCCUACCAAGGCGGUGACGGGUAGCCGGCCUGAGGGGGUGACAGGCAAAAUUGGGACUGGGACACGGCCCAGACUCCUACAGGAGGCAGCAGUGGGGGAUAAUGCACAAUGGGCGAAAGCCUGAUGCAGCGACGUGGCGUGGGGGAUGAAGGCUUUCGGGUUGUAAACCUCUUUCGCGAACGAAAGGGUAGGUGGAGAAGAAGCGCCGGCUAACUACGUGCCAGCAGCCGCGGUAAUUC